CCGCAUCACCGUGACACCACCUCCAUUCAGGAGCUUAUCGGGCGCCCGCGGCGCUCCAGGACAACCAGAAGUCGAACUGCCUGAAUCACCCGGAGCUGCCGGAGCGAUAAACCCCAGGCCGGCUCCUCCCAUCGCACACCAGUUUUCGGACUCCUGGAGGGAUUGUUUGCUUAGCAGCCUCGGCUGGUGCUCCUAGCACUGCCUGCGUGGGGCAGCCUGGUACCACCUGGCAUUUUGAGAGGACCCAGGUACCAAGGUGGCCCCUUAAGAAGCAGGAAGCCCGGGGCCAGGGAGCAGGCGAGAUAAACACCCAUUCACCACAACCCGCUGCCCAUGGGUGAUCCCUCUGGGAGGGUACCCGGAAGCGGGCCUAGGGCAGAACCUGCUGGAAUGUCACCUGCCUCUGAGCCCGUCCAUAGCGGCCACAAAAUCUGCCUCCCCCUCUCCCCGCUUCCCUGCCCAUGGCUCAGUGGCCACUAAUCAGCUCCCUGUGGAAGGAGAGAGCUGCAUUUUCUGAGCUGCCCAGGUCUGGAGAACCUCCGUCGAUAGACCGAGUGAAUCUAGGAACCAGGGUCAAGGCCAAGGGUCCAGGGAUUCAGGCCCCUCAACCCGCCCCUUCCAAAACCAGAAAAGAAAGGUGUACACAGCAGUGUUUGGUCCCCCUCCCCUUCCUUGAGGAAGAGUCUCCCCU